AUGCCCGGAGACAAAGAGCAAACCACCAUCACAAUGGAAGAGCCCCUCCCUACCCCUCAAAUUUCUGCUGCUAAGGACAACCACCCCAGACACUUUGAGAGCUCACAUAUCUGCCCUUUGCCUACGAGGGCCUCUCCAAUCUAUUCCCAGACACUAAACCCAGCCUCUUACUGGGCUUUUAUCUCCGGAACCACUCAGUCUCCUGUGAAGUUUCCUUUCCAAACCAUUAAGCAUCAUGGUAUGUUUUCCUUAGCGGAAAGUCUUGCAAAAUUUCCACUUUCUACUGUGAACGUGUAUGUCACAAGUCACUGGUAUAUUGUGUGUCACAAAAAACUCCUUGUUCCUGCCAAUGAUAAAUUACCCACACACAGUAACCACCUCCCUCCACUGACAUCCCCAGGUCUGUGUGCCUUCUUGGAACUUAGCCUGGCUAAAGCAGACGAGAGCAGCGGCGUCUGCGAAUAGGAACAUCGAAGACUCUUCUCCGCCUCUCCUCCUCCUCCUCUUUAUCCGAUUCGUCCAUGUCUGCCGAAUCAUCAUCGUCGUCUUCCUCCUCCUCCUCCUCUUCUUCCUCUUCCAUCUCUUCGUACUCAUCAGGACCCAUCUCCUUGAAAGAGAAAACAAUCUUUUGAUAAUAACGUCCAAUGGGUUUUAUAGUAAUUUAAGGCAAGUUUUCAUUGAUCUAGAACACCAACAACCAGACAAGCCGUCUGUCAGUUUUCAUGGAUUUCAAUAGUGCAGUUUCAUACUGCGUGUGCUGCUCUCGAAUGCAUACUGUAUCACACAUUGAAUAAUGCUCAGUACACUUCUAAUGGUAAACCUCUUUCAUCACGACUGUACUCAGUUGGUUUUGUGUUUUUUUUUUUUUUUUUUUUUUUUUUUUUUUUUAAC
rnacentral:lncRNA from 1 species